rnacentral:lncRNA from 1 species
UUUUCUUGAUAAGGAAGUAGUAGAAACCUAAUAGGAAUCAAUUUCCGCCACUUUCCCCCAUCAGGACUUGUUCUUCGAUUUUCGCCAUGUUGGAGUCCGAAUUUUGGAAUAUUGUGUAAAUAAGAAUUGUAGCCCUUGAAAUUAGCUUUCCAAUGCCGCCAAAAUCACCUAAUUCGGAGUUCGUAUGAGAGAGAUAUCCUCGAAAUCGUGGACACUGUCAAAGCUGUGGCGAGAUUCCUUCUUCCAAUUUGAUUUGUUUCCUUAUUUGCAACUUUUUCCUUUCUUUUUGAUCUUUUUUCCUUCAUGGACACCUAAUUCUCGUUUUUCACCUAUAAAACACAAAAUCAAUCAAUUAAAGCACAAAUA